rnacentral:rRNA from 1 species
UACGUAGGGGGCAAGCGUUAUCCGGAUUUACUGGGUGUAAAGGGAGCGUAGACGGCUGUGCAAGCCAGAUGUGAAAGCCCGGGGCUCAACCCCGGGACUGCAUUUGGAACUGUGUAGCUGGAGUGUCGGAGAGGCAGGCGGAAUUCCUAGUGUAGCGGUGAAAUGCGUAGAUAUUAGGAGGAACACCAGUGGCGAAGGCGGCCUGCUGGACCGCGACUGACGUUGAGGCUCGAAAGCGUGGGGAGCAAACAGG